rnacentral:misc_RNA from 1 species
CUUGAUUUAACCGUGUAUUACCAAUGAUUCAUUAAUCAUUAUUGUCAGCUCACCAAACCACUUACCACUUUAUUAAAAGAGGAUGUAUAAUCUUCCUUUUGCUAGAACACAAAAGCACAAUAGGCAUUUGAUGCUCUGAAAGUUGCGACUAUCACUUUCCUUAUGCUUACCAUGCCAGAUUUCAUAAAAUGCUUUAUGGUUGAGUCUGAUGCCUCCGGGUUAGGUUUGGAAGCUGUAUUAAUGCAGGAUGAUGACCUUAUAGCUUAUUACAAUAAAGUAGUUUCUUCUUCCACCCUUAGUUGUUCAGCCUAUGAUCGAGAACUUAUGGCCUUAAUCCUUGUAAUAGAGCAUUGGCAUCCUUAUUUGAUUAGCUAGUAAUUUGUGGUUAGAACAGAUUAAUGUAGUUUGUGCCAUUUAUUGGACUUAAAUAUCACUACUCCAUCCCAAUAAUUAUGGAUCUUAAUAUUAAUGUGUUAUCAAUUUUCUAUUAAGUAUAAGCCCGGUAUUACCAACAAGGCAGCAAAUGCCCUUUCUUGCAAAGAAGAAGAGUUUAUCUUUUUUGCUCUCUCUAUUCCUUCAUGGUUGGAUUGGGAUCAAUUGGAGGAUGAAAUAUGGUAAGAUCCUUCUAUACAGUUUAUUAUUAUUGAUUUACAAUCUCAAAAGAAGCAUCAUCCCCACUACUAUAUUAUCCAGGGGCAUCUCUACUAUAAAGGCCGUCUGGUAAUUCCAUUUUCAUCUCUAUAGGUAUAAAAGCUAAUUUUAGAGUUUCACAAUACUCCUCUAGGUGGCCACUCAAGAGAAUUCCUCAUCUAUAAAUGGCUCUCAACAAGUUUCUAUUAGAAGG